GGAAUUGUGCUCGUCCGAGAUGCUGCUGCGAAAACUGCACUGCGACAACUUUUCCACACUUUACCGCCCCCCCCCCUUUCCCUCCCAAAAAUAAUAAUUUUUUCGUUGUUGUUGUUUUAAUUCAUCGAUCAUUUUGCUUGCAAACACUCCGCAGCUUCACUAAUGACGCACGACGGCGGACCCUCAAUAAGGCCGCUCUCUGGUGGUGUUUGGCAAUGGUAGAACUCACACUGGUGAGCUACGAGGAACCGGUGGUUCUAGACUUGCCAACUACCGCUUGAGAGCCUCCACCCGCACCAACAUGGAGGAGCAAAGAAGCCGACCCUCCUGCAGUCCCCAAGUGGAAGAUGAUGGAAGAGUGAGUGGCUGCUGGUGUUGAAGGGUGAGACCACGCUAUGUUCCUCCCCUGCACACCGCAGUCUCAAAGCUCCAGUCAACGCCUUUGGACCAGGUGACAGUGAAUGCAACACGGCACAAACAACAGGAUGAGGCCAGUUAAAACAGGGUCGCGGAGAGUGCUGGAGCCUAUCUCAGCUGCAUUUGGGCAGAAGGCGGGGUACACCCUGGACAAGUCGUCACCUCAUCACAGGGCCAACACAGAUAAACAGACAACAUUCACACUCACAGGGGAUAUCUUCGGGCCACCACAUGGGCUUGCAGCUCUCCUUGCCCCAGCCGGGCUUGCCCCGGCCCGUCGAGUAUUUCAGCAUCUCCGGGAUGAAGGCUCUGAGCUGGGCCUGUGAUGGAGCGUAAGAAGAUGAGGAUGACGCCCUUGAGCUGCAAGGUGGGCGGUCACCUCAUCGUUCCCGGCCGAGUUGAGGAUGUCCGUGUCGUCGUAGGGGUCAUCGUCAGGCGAGGAAGUGGAGUCCUCAUCUGCGCUCAUCAUGGAUGUGUCGCCAAAGAUAAACCUGUUGGCUGACGGCGCUGGCCUCAAUGGUGGUCAUGUGCUCUGCCUGGUGAACAGCGUGAUCCUCCAUGACGGCUGGAUACAACAACUGGCGAAACAUAAGAUGCAUGUCAUAAUGUAAGGAGACAGAUCAAAUCAAUUUCAUGUGCUUACAGUGUGGAUCAUGUGUGUACA